AUCCAAUGGGUCAAAGGACUCCAAUUCCAACUUCCGGUGUGCAAAUCCACUUCCUGUUAUGGCAGAGGCGUGAGGUAGCGAUGGAGGUGGAGACUGCUUUUACCAUUCAGGUAGCGCAGAAAUGAGAGUCGUGGAAGCAAUUUCUUGGUGCAACUCCUUCAGAAAUCAUCUAGCAGAAUUAUUCGACUUCAAACACAGCUCCCAGUGCAAGAACGGAUCUGUUUUGACUGAGAGAGCCUCAGCCUUCCACACCCAAGAGGAAAUCCACUCCCACACUGCCGCUGCUGCAGGACCUUGGGUUCUUUGCUACCUAUUCUGUGACUUGUUUAUGUGACCUGUGGAAUGGAUCAACAGCCGCGUCUCACCCUUUAAAUGUUGCAAGGAUUGAGAAAGUCAGUGCUGGAAAGGACACAAGCCAGACCCACCUGGAGUAAAUGUCCAGCCGGUGCCCGUUCUUGCAGUGACUUUGUCACUAUUAUCACUUUUCCCAGCCCAGGUCACUUGUUCCCCCAAAUGGAAAGCCAUCCUUGACACUAAUUCACAGAUGCCUUUCUUUGCACCUUGCCUAUCACACAGCUCAUGAAGACAGUGUGGGUGUGUCGUCCAUUUGUAAUCAAUUUCAAAUGAACGUGGGUGGUGCCCCGGGUGUGGUCACCGUAGGAAGAGCACAGCUUUGGGGACCUGUGGGCACUCCCAUCCAGCCUG
rnacentral:lncRNA from 1 species